CGGAAUGUAGCUCAGAUUGGUAGAGCGUCUUUAGUUAUCACAUAUGAUAAUCUCAAGAAGGACAGAGGUUCGAAUCCUCUCAUCCCGACCA
rnacentral:tRNA from 1 species